AACGAACGCUGGCGGCAUGCCUAACACAUGCAAGUCGAACGAAACCUUCGUGCCUUUUUGCGCUCCUCUACUUACCACGUGGUAACCUACCCUUAGGUUCCGUAUCCCUCCCUUUAGGGUGUCCUCAUACCGGUUAAUGUCUUCCCGCCUAAGAUUUCUUGCCUUGGGGUGGGCCCUGGUUGGUUUCGCUAGUUGGUAGUGUAAUAGCCUACCAAGGCGACGAAGCAUGGCUGGUCUGAGAGGAUGAUCAGCCACACUGGGACUGAGACACGGACCAGAAUCGUACGGGAGGGAGCAGUGGGGAAUAUUGGAGAAGGGGGGAAAGUCUGAUAAAGCAAUGCCGGGGGAGUGAGGAAGGCGUUAGGGUUGUAAAGCUGUUUGAGACGGGAUGAUAAUGACAGUAACGGGAGAAUAAGCACCGGCUAACUACGUG
rnacentral:rRNA from 1 species